GUGCAUAGCGGGUGCUAAUACAUGCAGUCGAGCGGACAGAAGGGAGCUUGCUCCCGGAUGUUAGCGGCGGACGGGUGAGUAACACGUGGGUAACCUGCCUGUAAGACUGGGAUAACUCCGGGAAACCGGAGCUAAUACCGGAUAGUUCCUUGAACCGCAUGGUUCAAGGAUGAAAGACGGUUUCGGCUGUCACUUACAGAUGGACCCGCGGCGCAUUAGCUAGUUGGUGGGGUAAUGGCUCACCAAGGCGACGAUGCGUAGCCGACCUGAGAGGGUGAUCGGCCACACUGGGACUGAGACACGGCCCAGACUCCUACGGGAGGCAGCAGUAGGGAAUCUUCCGCAAUGGACGAAAGUCUGACGGAGCAACGCCGCGUGAGUGAUGAAGGUUUUCGGAUCGUAAAGCUCUGUUGUUAGGGAAGAACAAGUGCGAGAGUAACUGCUCGCACCUUGACGGUACCUAACCAGAAAGCCACGGCUAACUACGUGCCAGCAGCCGCGGUAAUACGUAGGUGGCAAGCGUUGUCCGGAAUUAUUGGGCGUAAAGGGCUCGCAGGCGGUUUCUUAAGUCUGAUGUGAAAGCCCCCGGCUCAACCGGGGAGGGUCAUUGGAAACUGGGAAACUUGAGUGCAGAAGAGGAGAGUGGAAUUCCACGUGUAGCGGUGAAAUGCGUAGAGAUGUGGAGGAACACCAGUGGCGAAGGCGACUCUCUGGUCUGUAACUGACGCUGAGGAGCGAAAGCGUGGGGAGCGAACAGGAUUAGAUACCCUGGUAGUCCACGCCGUAAACGAUGAGUGCUAAGUGUUAGGGGGUUUCCGCCCCUUAGUGCUGCAGCUAACGCAUUAAGCACUCCGCCUGGGGAGUACGGUCGCAAGACUGAAACUCAAAGGAAUUGACGGGGGCCCGCACAAGCGGUGGAGCAUGUGGUUUAAUUCGAAGCAACGCGAAGAACCUUACCAGGUCUUGACAUCCUCUGACACCCUAGAGAUAGGGCUUUCCCUUCGGGGACGAGUGACAGGUGUUGCAUGUUGUUCGUCAGCUCGUGUCGUGAGAAUGUUGGUUAGUCCCGCACGAGCGCCAACCCUUUGAUCUUAGUGGCAGCAUUAGUGGCACUCUUAGUGACUGGCGGUGACAUCGAGGAAGGGGGAUGACGUCAAUCAUCAUGCCCUUAUGGACCUGGUCUACUACGUCUACAUUGGACGACUAGCUGCGAACGCCAAGUUUAG
rnacentral:rRNA from 1 species